rnacentral:misc_RNA from 1 species
AGAAUUUUCACACAUUUAAUUAAAAAAUAAUAAAAAAGUUUAAUUAAAAAUGAAUGCAACACAAAUGAGAAAAGAGAAAUUAUUCUUAUUUUAUAGUUCAAGCAUCUAAAAAACCUUCUUUUUAUGCGUCUAGGAAAGCUUCAAAAUUCUAGUUUCACUAUAACAACAAAUAAAAAUAGUUUUCAUCUGUUCCUAAAAGUUAUUUUUUUAUGUUUAAGAAAAGGCAUAAUUCUUACAUAAAUAAAAGUUCAUAUAUCUAUUUAAUAGAUUUUUAAAAAAUUCAGAGGAUUAACAAUAGAUUUUUCAAGAAAAAUACUGGAUUUAAAUUAUAAAUAUAUAGAUGUAUUCCUAUUUGAUCACUAUUGAUGCAAUAUAAAUUAUCCGACUACUUAAAUCAAUGUCGCAUAUCACACGGAGUCCUCCUAUACAUUAUCACUAGGAAACCCUAUGAGGUAUGAUGCGUCAAAUACAAUACAAGCUUUACAUAUUUAUUUAAUAUCUAAACAUUUGAUAUCAUGGGUGGAUCCAACCAAAGGCGGGUUCAGAAUUGGAACCAGACCAGAAAUAAACUAGCUUAAACUGAACAAAACUGAAUCGAAACUAAUCAAAUUAAUUUGAUUUAAACCGUAAAUGAAUUGAAAUAGAAUGGGAUGAUUCUCAGUCUAACCACCUUUUUUAUUUAAAAAAUUUUUAA